rnacentral:lncRNA from 1 species
GGUAUCUCCAGGUGGAGCACAGUAGUGGCUGUCUGCUUCAGGUGCAUUCCACAGGCUGCUCACCCACUCCAGAUCUGAGUACCAAUGGCAUCUUGGUACAGAGUUUGCAAUCCUCUUGGCUGUUGUCCACCAGCUGUGGGUUGGGGUAGUGGGCCUGUGGGAAGGGGAGGUGGCUGGGUGGAGUACCCCUCUCAGCUAGGGCACGGCCUCUGGGGCCUAUAGCUGGUGGGGAGGAAGGAAAGGGAACCUAGAAGCCAGUGAGUCCCAAGCACACUCAGUAGUGGGAUAGGGCCCCUGGGCACCAGUGAGGGCCUUGCCUUGUCCAAGGGAGUGCAACAUUAAACAGCAAUUUAAAAACAGCAAGACAAGGGGAGAGGCACUAUGGAAGAAAGGAAAAAACAACAAACAAACAAGCAAAAAAAACUAUAGUUCAGUACUUUUAAUGGAACUUAGAAAUGCAGGGAAAGGAGGCUUGCAUUUUCAUUUUGCAUCGAGAUCCACAAAUUAUGUAGCCAGUCCUGCAGGGAGAUAAGAGAGGGCCAGAUUAUUUAGGGCCUUACAGGCUCUUCAUUUUAAGGACAUUCCCUACACGAAGAGGCAGGGACACGGCAUAAUCUGCUUUACAGUUUAAAGGAUUCUUCUGUGGUUUUGAGAUAGUCUAGAAAUGGGAGGAGGUCAUUUCCAGUCCAAGUGGGAGAUAUUGGAAGCUCAGCAUAGAUAACAGUGAAGCUGGUGAGAAGCUGUCAGAAUUAGACAGAAUUUGAAGGUGGGGUUGAGGUAAUUUACUGAUGGAUUGGCUAGAUCCAUGAAUUACACAGGUAUAUGCAAUUUCCAAAACUCAAUGAGCUGUAUACUUAUGAUCUGUGUAUUUUACCGUAUGGGAUUUAUGUCUCAACGAAAAUAAAAUGAAAAACAAAGGCACUGGGCAGGACAAUUUUUAAUGAUAAGCUCCCAUGUGUGAAGAAUACAGGGUGGGGCUUUCUUUAGACAAAUACUCUUUCAGGUAUGAAACAAUAAUUUCCAGAAGAAUACACAAAAUACAAACAGCAAAGUUAAUCUGCUCAGAGGUUGGCUGGAUCAGGAAAUGAGCAGAAAAAGAGAAUUAUUCCUCUGAAGGCAUUUUCAUAAUUUCUAAACUUUUAACCAUGUAAAACAUUAUUUAAUAACCUGACAAAUAUGUACUGGUUUAUUCAUUUUGGUACAUAUUUUCAAAGUGUUCACCAUCCAGUGUAAAGACAAUAAAAUACUUCUAAGCAUUUCUGAUACCAAAGAUGAGUGCCUGGUCUGGGCUAGCACCUGGUAUUAGCAAUCACAUUCUAUGGUAUUCUGACUCCAAGAAAUUUGUAGUGUCUGCCCAUGCUAAGAACAAAGAAAAUGUUCUUUUCACAUGUCACUUUUGGAAAAGGAGGCAAAGAGGCUUUAAUCAAGCAUUAUAACUCAAGGGCAUCAGGAAGUUGCAUUCUGUCUUUGGCAAAAUCCAAAGAGGACAAAUAAAGAAGUAAUUUGUGAAGACUAAUAGAACAUGGACAGAAAGAAGUACAGUCGGGAGCAAUAGCUACCUGAGGAAAAGAAUAUUUGACCUAAGUUAACAAAAGCAAGCAGCACAUGCUAAGCAGAGAAGAACUGUACCAUCCUUUUUGCUUGGACCAAACACCUCGUCUCACCUGAGCCUACUGCAAAAACCUUCCCCUCGCUCUGCUCUUUCUCUAACCUUCCUCACCCUUGCUUGCUCUCAGUGUUCACCACCACACCAGAGGAAAGUUUUCAAAGUUUAUGGAGAAAAUCCCCCUCCGAAGUGUUCAAUGCUCAAGAGUGACGUCUAGUCCAUGUCUAUCUCUCCACACGGCCGCAGUCCUCUCCUUUUUCAACACCUCAGCACAUGGCCUUAUGCAUCUUUUUCGUGACCCAAGAUCUUUGCACAGGCUGUUCCCUCUACAUCUAAUGCUCUUCUUCCUACAAUGCUUUUUCCUGACUACCUCCCAAUCAUACUUCAGUUCUUGACCAAUGUCAUUUCCUCGGAGAAGCCUUCCAAGACUUUCUUUUUUAAAAUUGAGAUAUAUAAUAUCAUGUAAGUUUUAAGUGUAUUGACAUAGUGAUUCACAAAUUUUAAAGGUUACACUCCAUUUACAGUUAUCUAAAACACUGGCUACAUUCCAUCUGUUGUACAAUAUAUCCUUGUAUCUUACUUAUUUUAUACAUAGUAGUCUGUACCACUAAAUCCCCUCACCCCCAUCUUGCUCCUCCCUUUCUUCUUCCCACUGGAAAGUACUAGUUUGCUCUCUAUAUUUGUGAGUUUGUUUCUGUUCUGUUAUAUUCACUAGUUUGUUCUACUUUUUUAGAUUUCACAUAUAGGUGAUAUCAUAUAGAAUUUGUUUUUCUUUGACUUAUUUCACUGAGCAUAAUACCAUCCACAAAUUCCUGAUCUAAGCUGGUAGCCUCUUAGAAAGUUAUAGCCUAUUACUUCUAUUUAAUGAUACUUGUCAAAAUUGAUGAUUAUAAAAUUAUGCAUUUAGCUUCUGGCCCCUGAAGACACACCACUAUCGGUGCAGGAAUGUUGUCUGUUUCAUUCACAGCUGUUUAUCCAACACCUGGCUCAGUGCCUGACAUAAAGAAGAAGCUCAGUUAAUAGUCAUUGAAUAAAUUAUAACCCACCAUUAACUCCCUUGCCUUCCCUUCAAAUUUUCCUUGAUUUAGAUCAACACUGUCCAAUGUGACCCACAUAGGUAAUUUAAAAUAUUCUCGUAGCCACAAUUCACAAUUAUAAAAUAACAGGUGAAAUAGUUUAAUAUACUUUAUUGAACCUGAUAAACCAACAUAAUGGCAUUCUAACAUGAAAUCAAUGACAAUUAUUGAGAUAAUUUGCAUCUUUAACAGUAAGUCUGAAAUUCUGUGUGUAUUUUACACAUAAGAACAUAUCAAUUUGAACUAGCCACAUCUUAAGUGCCCCGAAACUCCUGUAGUUAGUGGCCACCAAUUGGGACAGAGCAGGACCUAAAACCUUUGGGUGAAGAGCUUUGUCCCUCAUCUGCCCACAGUCCUUCCCAUGACAGCUCCUUUUCUAACCAUAUGCUUGCUCCCCGCUACUGUUUCUGAGUCAGCCCUCCUUUCAUGGUAGUCCCAGAGAAGAAUGCUGGAAUACUGGUCCUCAAUAAGAUGCAGUCAACUUCCGUUGGGCCUCAGGAAAGGGGAAUAUGGGGGGCGGGAUGCUUUUCUUUUUUUCCCCUGCCUUUCUCACACACCUCUGUGUAUGUGUCCAUCUUUACUGGACCAAGAAUGACUUAAAAUCAGCAGGCUAUGAUUAGUUAAGUCAAAUAACUAAUGACUAAACAAUAACAAAUGGUUAAAGAAAACUAGGCAUAUGAAAGGGUAAAUUUAAUAUUGCCUAACUAUGACUGCCUACCAUCUCAUCUCAUCCAUGGCAAUUUAAGAGAAAAACAAAGACAGAAAAAAAACCUUUAAAAAGAUCCUCCUUGCAUGUUUAAGCCAGGCCUGGCUCCACAUUCCAGGCCCUGGGCUCACUCUUGUCUCUGAGAGUCCCUCCCUCUUAGAGUCAUAGGGUUCCUCUCCACGUCCACUGAGGAAUAUUAUGUCCACAUGCCCAAGUUUAAAGCAGCCAUUCUUUAUAGUGAAAAUAACUACUAAGCGUAGUUGGAAAUUUGUGGGAGGGUUUUGGUUGUCACAUGACUGGCAUUUAGUGACAAAAGCUGAAGAUGCUAGAUUUCCUGCAAUGUAUAGUUGGAAAAUAAUUGAAAGUACUAUCCCAAAAUAGCAGAUUUUCUGAUAAAUAAAUGGAAGUCGAUAUUCAUUAGACAUAUAGGUGAAGAAUGUAUAGUUAGAAGUGGCAUUUUUAGUUAAAAGGAGGAGUACUAUAUUUAAAAAUGGUGACUGACUAUACUUGAUUAUAGAAAACCAAAGAAAACAGUUUCUCAGCAAUGUUUUGGCUCACAAUCAAAUUUUAGAUGAGGUUUAUAUUAAGGUUUGGUAAACUGCUCUUUUUUCAAUUUUUGAUGAAGUUUAGAUUUGUCUCAGAAAAGGAAAAUCAAAUAAACAAACAAAAACCAAGAAUAAGGCCUGUUCAAUCAAGCAGGAAGUUGGGGUGGGAUAGGAGAGGGAAAGGCCCAGACUGGUUAAGUUUUGCAUCAUAAACAUAAAUAUACAUAUAUCUUACCACUCUCUAGGUUUUCAACUAAUUGUUCUGUUAUUAGUAUGAACACACUAAUGAAAAUAAACACAAUGAAAAUAUCUCUAUUUUCAUUGAAUGAUCUGAAGCAACUAUAAAUAAACAUAAAAUGUAUUUGACACACAUUACAAUCUUACUAUUGACAGCCAUGAAUUAGAAGUGUUUCUGUGUGUGUGAAAUUUUAAGUGCUUUGUCAAAACAACAUACCUUUUUGUAGAGCAGUUCUCACACUUGAAUCAUCUUGAUGUCAACUGGCAUAUUUAAGAGGAACACCAAAUUCACUUGCUAAUUCACUGAGGGCCAAAAGGGUGGGAGAGGGGAGGUAGCAAGUGGGAAAAGGAGAAGAGGCACAAGGGAAUUUUCUAAGCUAUUUUCUGAUUUCAGCCACCAGGGAGAGGCAAGAAAGGAGACCAAUAUUCUGAAUUUGUCACAGUCCAUUCUGCUCUAGAUCACCAUGACCUGUUUAAGGGAGAAAGUACAAAUCUAAUGACCAAUAGGGCUGACUGGCUCCCUUACUGGUAGCUUUCUGCAGGCAGGUGAUCAGAGCAUGGAUGCAAUGGAAAUGCCACCUGUAUGUUUCCAGCUUCUGUUGCACAUUGUGCUGCUGAGAGGGGAGGGACUGGAAACUGAAAAGAAGGACAUAAAGCAGCAGGAUUUCAGCGUUCUGAUUCCACAAAGCCUGCUGGCCAUAUGGCUCUCCCUGCGCCCCAGAGCGCACACGUGCGUGCGUACACUAGCACAUUUAUUUCAUGGGACUUCAUUGUUUCAGUUUCAUUUCUGUUUAUGUGUAUUCAUAGAAACUGCAGUUGUCAACACUAAAUUUGUAUACAGUAUUUAGAAAUUUGCGGUUCUACAUUUGUUAAAGAAAAUGUUGAGAAAUAUUAAUAAACCAGUAGGUUUUUGUUGCUGUUGUUU